rnacentral:rRNA from 1 species
GAUGAACGCUGGCGGCGUGCCUAAUACAUGCAAGUCGAGCGAACGGACGAGGAGCUUGCCCCUCUGACGUUACCGGCGGACGGGUGAGUAACACGUGGAUAACCUACCUAUAAGACUGGGAUAACUUCGGGAAACCGGAGCUAACACCGGACAAUAUAUUGAACCGCAUGGUUCAAUAGUGAAAGACGGUUUUGCUGUCACUUAUAGAUGGUUCCGCGCCGCAUUAGCUAGUUGGUGAGGUAACGGCUUACCAAGGCAACGAUGCGUAGCAGACCUGAGAGGGUGAUCGGCCACACUGGAACUGAGACACGGUCCAGACUCCUACGGGAGGCAGCAGUAGGGAAUCGUCCGCAAUGGGCGAAAGCCUGACGGAGCAAUGCCGCGUGAGUGAUGAAGGUCUUCGGAUCGUAAAUCUCUGUUAUUAGGGAAGAACAAAUGUGUAAGUAACUAUGCCCGUCUUGACGGUACCUAAUCAGAAAGCCACGGCUAACUACGUG